AUUGAACGCUGGCGGCAUGCCUUACACAUGCAAGUCGAACGGUAACAGGUCUUCGGAUGCUGACGAGUGGCGAACGGGUGAGUAAUACAUCGGAACGUGCCUAGUAGUGGGGGAUAACUACUCGAAAGAGUGGCUAAUACCGCAUGAGAUCUACGGAUGAAAGCAGGGGAUCGCAAGACCUCGCGCGAUUGGAGCGGCCGAUGGCAGAUUAGGUAGUUGGUGGGGUAAAGGCUCACCAAGCCGACGAUCUGUAGCUGGUCUGAGAGGACGACCAGCCACACUGGGACUGAGACACGGCCCAGACUCCUACGGGAGGCAGCAGUGGGGAAUUUUGGACAAUGGGCGCAAGCCUGAUCCAGCCAUUCCGCGUGCAGGAUGAAGGCCUUCGGGUUGUAAACUGCUUUCGUACGGAACGAAACGGCCUUUUCUAAUACAAGAGGCUAAUGACGGUACCGUAAGAAUAAGCACCGGCUAACUACGUGCCAGCCGCCGCAGUAACAC
rnacentral:rRNA from 1 species